AGUGAACGCUGGCGGCAGGCCUAACACAUGCAAGUCGAACGGCAGCACAAGAGAGCUUGCUCUCUGGGUGGCGAGUGGCGGACGGGUGAGGAAUGCAUCGGAAUCUGCCCAUUUGUGGGGGAUAACCUCGGGAAACCGGGACUAAUACCGCAUACGACCUACGGGUGAAAGCAGGGGAUCUUCGGACCUUGCGCAGAUGGAUGAGCCGAUGCCGGAUUAGCUAGUUGGAGGGGUAAAGGCCCACCAAGGCGACGAUCCGUAGCUGGUCUGAGAGGAUGAUCAGCCACACUGGAACUGAGACACGGCCCAGACUCCUACGGGAGGCAGCAGUGGGGAAUAUUGGACAAUGGGCGAAAGCCUGAUCCAGCAAUGCCGCGUGUGUGAAGAAGGCCUUCGGGUUGUAAAGCACUUUUGUUGGGAAAGAAAAGCAGCCGGUUAAUACCCGGUUGUCAUGACGGUACCCAAAGAAUAAGCACCGGCUAACUUCGUG
rnacentral:rRNA from 1 species